UACGAAGGGGGCUAGCGUUGUUCGGAAUCACUGGGCGUAAAGCGCACGUAGGCGGAUCUUUAAGUCAGAGGUGAAAUCCCAAGGCUCAACCUUGGAACUGCCUUUGAUACUGGGGAUCUUGAGUCCGGGAGAGGUGAGUGGAACUGCGAGUGUAGAGGUGAAAUUCGUAGAUAUUCGCAAGAACACCAGUGGCGAAGGCGGCUCACUGGCCCGAGUACUGACGCUGAGGCACGGAAAAGCGAUG
rnacentral:rRNA from 1 species